UGAGCUGCGUGUUAUAGUCUCUCAGCCAUUCUUACCCAAGUGAGAAUUCUCACUUGGGGUAACAGGUUAUCUUUAUACUGCAGUUUCCAUGGAACUGGAGGUGGGAUCAGUGACAAGGUGAAAGGAGCAUGGUAGGGCUCAGAUGGGUCCAAAAAAAGAACCAACUGUUACUAGUGCCGUGGGAGCUUUGCUGCAGAACAGGGCCCAGGUGGCCACAAAUGAAGUCCCAACCAAUUCCGACUGGCUCCCUGAAACCCAUCAGCCUGGAUGGCUGCGUACCCCAGAAUGCCACCUAAGCGGAGGGAACGGUAGAUGUGACGUCGGUUUAUAUACCCUCGAUUAUUCUUGAAGCAUCACUUAGAACAAAUGGAAAGGAGCCCACCCGGUUUGGUAGAUUUUUUACAGACAACUAAAUUUUAUUUCAGCAAGAUGGAUCAUGGUGAACAAUGAGACUACAUCUUUGAAAUGAAGACCCUGAGUGGGAUAUUCAGAUUCACCUCCAAGCAAUGAUGUCAUUUUAAAGCUGAAGACAGAAGCAUCCUGAAGAAGUCUGUCUUUGUUAACAAUAUCUAAACCUAGAGAAGAAAUUCUGCUGGACUUCUGGGAGGACAGAAGGAGAAGCAGAGGAGAAGCUGCCAAAAUGACACUCUCCCUACCAUCCCCCCAUGGCCAACCCCCCCAUCCUAGGGCCUGAUAAGGAGAUAUGUCAGCCCCCAGCAAGAGAGGCCCUUGCACCCCUCUGUUCCCUAAGGCAAUGAGUAGAAUCCUUGAGAAGACAGCUACAUGAAGAGUGUGCCUCGGGAGGCCAGACCUGAGGCAGGAGGUUUCCAGCCCUCACUGGCGACCCUGAGGCAGACAGCUACAAGGAUUCAAUAAAUCACUACUUUGAUAAACUGAAGGUCAGAGGUGGGUUCCUCAUCUUCCAGAGGCCAUGAAAAUCUCCAGGUCCUAGGACACACUCCAUGGGGGAAGGGGAAGCACCUAAAACUUACUGACAUGAAGUUUUCCUCUAGGUUGGCGGAAUGGGAACUGGAGUCCGUUUUCAUUAUGGGGAAUGAAAACAGUAAUGCUUCUUGCAUCCUUGACGAUCUGAGGUGAAAUGCAGACUUGUGGGGAACCUCAAUAAAGUGCAGAAUCUUGGAACAGUGCAUAUCUGUGCUAUAUAGACUAGCUACAACUGCUGGAACUGGAGCUGAUCUAGUUUUCAAAAAAAGCCACCGCUUGGUUAGAGAGAGGAGC